rnacentral:misc_RNA from 1 species
GCAAACUUGGUCAUUUAGAGGAAGUAAAAGUCGUAACAAGGUUUCCGUAGGUGAACCUGCGGAAGGAUCAUUACCACAUCCAAAAUCUUUAUCAACCCACAAGUGUGAAGCUAUGAUGAGGAACUUUUUCUUCAUUUUUUUUGAACCCCCUUUGAACUCUUUCAGUGGAAUAAGCAAGACUAAAAACAAAAAUGAGAAAAGAGAAAACAACUUUUAACGGUGGAUCUCUUGGCUCGUGCAUCGAUGAAGAACGCAGC